rnacentral:rRNA from 1 species
CGGAGGAAAAGAAACCAACAGGGAUUGCCUUAGUAACGGCGAGUGAAGCGGCAAAAGCUCAAAUUUGAAAUCUGGCACCUUCGGUGUCCGAGUUGUAAUUUGAAGAAGGUAACUUUGGAGUUGGCUCUUGUCUAUGUUCCUUGGAACAGGACGUCACAGAGGGUGAGAAUCCCGUGCGAUGAGAUGCCCAAUUCUAUGUAAAGUGCUUUCGAAGAGUCGAGUUGUUUGGGAAUGCAGCUCUAAGUGGGUGGUAAAUUCCAUCUAAAGCUAAAUAUUGGCGAGAGACCGAUAGCGAACAAGUACAGUGAUGGAAAGAUGAAAAGAACUUUGAAAAGAGAGUGAAAAAGUACGUGAAAUUGUUGAAAGGGAAGGGCUUGAGAUCAGACUUGGUAUUUUGCGAUCCUUUCCUUUUUGGUUGGGUUCUCCGCAGCUUACUGGGCCAGCAUCGGUUUGGACGGUAGGAUAAUGAUUAAGGAAUGUGGCUCUGCUUCGGUGGAGUGUUAUAGCCUUGGUUGAUGCUGCCUGUCUAGACCGAGGACUGCGUCUUUUGACUAGGAUGUUGGCAUAAUGAUCUUAAGCCACCCGUC